UGGGGAAUAUUGGACAAUGGGCGCAAGCCUGAUCCAGCCAUGCCGCGUGAGUGAUGAAGGCCCUAGGGUUGUAAAGCUCUUUCACCGGUGAAGAUAAUGACGGUAACCGGAGAAGAAGCCCCGGCUAACUUCGUGCCAGCAGCCGCGGUAAUACGAAGGGGGCUAGCGUUGUUCGGAUUUACUGGGCGUAAAGCGCACGUAGGCGGACUAUUAAGUCAGGGGUGAAAUCCCGGGGCUCAACCCCGGAACUGCCUUUGAUACUGGUAGUCUUGAGUUCGAGGGAGGUGAGUGGAAUUCCGAGUGUAGAGGUGAAAUUCGUAGAUAUUCGGAGGAACACCAGUGGCGAAGGCGGCUCACUGGCUCGUUACUGACGCUGUGGUGCGAGAGCGUGGGGAGCAAACAGG
rnacentral:rRNA from 1 species